rnacentral:rRNA from 1 species
UGGGGGAUAUUGCACAAUGGGGGGAACCCUGAUGCAGCGACGCCGCGUGGGUGAAGAAGCGCCUCGGCGCGUAAAGCCCUGUCAGCAGGGAAGAAAAUGACGGUACCUGAAGAAGAAGCCCCGGCUAACUACGUGCCAG